rnacentral:rRNA from 1 species
UACGUAGGAGGCAAGCGUUGUCCGGAUUUACUGGGCGUAAAGAGCGUGUAGGCGGCAUGGCAAGUCUACUGUGAAAGCUCUCGGCUUAACCGGGAGAGGUCGGUGGAAACUGCCAGGCUUGAGGACGGUAGAGGGGGGUGGAAUUCCCGGUGUAGUGGUGAAAUGCGUAGAGAUCGGGAGGAACACCAGUGGCGAAGGCGGCCCCCUGGGCCGCUCCUGACGCUGAGACGCGAAGGCCAGGGUAGCGAACGGG